ACACACACACACACACACACACACACACAAACACACACAUUCUUUGUACCUUUGUACGGAAUUACAUUAGAAACUGUCCUGAGUGUUCCACCCUUCUCGCUUUCCCUUAUAAACGAGAUUCAUUCCAUGCUAGCAAAAGGAUGGUACUUACCCCCACCCCCCACACACAGGUAAAUCAGUCUGUGCUCUCUCAGCGUCUGACAUACUGGGCUGAAUGAAGGCUUGGGAAACAGGCCAACUAACCAGCGCCGAUCUCUGUGGCAACGGGCAGUGGGAGAUGACGUCAUUUGUGGGCGCCAUACUUCCCGGUUCUGGAAGUCGCUGACGGCGUCCUGCACAUGGUGGGGAUAUAAGUGAACAAGACACCCAACAGGUGAAACGGCCGUCUGUGAAGCCGUGGUGUCAGGCAGUGCACGGCCUGACCCACACUGAGCUCU